UUCUAAAUGUCCCUGUACAUUUAAGACAUGGAAUGCUUUAAUCAUCCAUCAAAGUAGAGUGCAUUCCACACAAGAUAAUCAGACACGAAAAGAGUUGUCCAUUUUCAGCUGUCACUUAUGUGCAUGCAAAAAUUUAGCUAAUGAAAGGGAGUUUUUUGUUCAUAUCAACACACAUCUGAAGAAAAAUGAAAAUAUAGGUUGCAUGUUCGUUGGCUGUAGUUUUCAAACAAGUAUUUAUGGAACCUUUAAGUCUCAUAAGAGUCGCCGGCACACACCUCACACAUUAUCUGAUUUUCUACCAGGUAUUGUAAAAACAACUACAAUAGCAUCUCCACCAUUAGAUGAUUUGUUUGCUGAUAGCCAGGAUGAGGAGUGUGUGUUAGAGGAAGUUUCUGAUUCUUCACGAGAUCAACACAAUGCACUUCCAAGUGCAAUUGAGCAGCAGCUUGCAGCAGCCUUACUAAAGUUGGAAUAUUUAGUCCACGUGCCAGGUACAGCAAUUGAUGAUUUUUUGCAAGAACUUUACUACUUGAUAAACAUAGCAUCAGUCACAGUAUCUAGAAGUGUUGUGACAGAUAUCCUUAAGCAUCACAAAAUACAAGUUGAUGACUCUGUAGUUACAGAAAUCACCACAGCAGUAUGCUCAUCUAACCCUGUUCCAAAAGCAAUUGAAAAAGGCGGCCCUCUUAGUACUUCAUAUCAACGUAAACAAUUUUAUAAGGAAAAAUUCUGUGUUGUGGAACCAGUUACUUACAUACUUGAUCAUAAAAAGAAACACACCUUUCAGUAUGUCCCACUGUUGAAAUCUUUGCAACAAAUUUUAAAUAAUAAGGCCAUUGUUGAUAAGAUAAUUGAAAAUCAUAGAGGACAGCAGGACACUGAACUUGACCCAUCUCUUGAAUUCAGGUCCCCUGAAGAUGGUUUGCAUUUUAACGCAAACAGCUUCCUAAAUGCAGAGGAGUUACGGAUAACACUGCGUCUGUAUGUGGAUGAUUUUGAGACCUGCAAUCCCCUAGGCACCUCUAGGAAAAAACACAAGCUUUGUGGUGUUUACUGGAUACUAGGUAACCUGCCACCAGGCUCCCACUCAUCUUUAUCAUCUAUUUAUCUUGCAGUGCUUUGCAAAAGUGUUGAUGUAAAAACAUAUGGUUAUGAAACAGUCUUGGAACCCCUUCUUCAAGAUAUUAAAAUUCUCGAGGACUAUGGUGUGUAUGUGCCUUUAUUAGACUGAGACGUAGAAGGAUGAAUGCCCCGACACUUCUCAAAGUCAUCCUGGGUGACAACAGCAGCCAAAGGAUGACUUUUCAAAAUGGACUCCCAGGAUCUGUUAAUGAACUUGUUAGUGAGGUACAAAGACAAUGUGGACUUGACUAUGACUUCAGACUUCAGUUUAUGGAUGCACUAUUUGGAAAUGACUUCAUGAACCUCACUUCAAUGGAUGAAGUACAGGAUAGAGGGACAAUUAGAGUGAUUGCCAUGACAGAUUCCUCAACUCCUCAGUGUGCUAAUAUCCUUCCCACCUCAGCUGCCCAUCACUCCCUUAAUGAAUCCUCAUCCCUGUCCAGUGGAUGUGUUGACACUGACAUACUCUCUUCACCGGAGUCAGAGUCAUCCGGCUCUCGGUCAUCUUGGCCGAGCAUCUUUCGUGUUCCUCAGUUUAGUUAUGAUGCCGAGUUGAAACUUGCGCUGGGCAAUGCAGCUUACAGGGAAAAGGGUACAUUGUUUAUUCCUGAUCCUAAACUGAAGUCGAACAUUCUUGAGGGCCUAGUGCAAGAAAUUAAGUACAAACUUUAUGUUUCUGACAAAGACUUUAACACAGUUGGAGAGGCUCUAAUCUCAAAGCAUCCUUGCCUGACUGAGAAAGGCUCCCUCUCUGGAUAUGCUGGAUGGAAAUGCAGCUUGAAGAACAAACUGGCAAUCUACCGCACUCACCUAAGAAAGCUUGGAUGUCCUGAGGUGACAAUAAACUCACUCAAGCACAAACCAGAGGGCAAAUCAAGCCCUGCUUUUGGCAUUAAAAAACCAAGAAGGUCUGAAGUGAACUACUGUCCCCCUAUCCUACUGGAGAAUCUGAGAAGAGUCUUGAGAGUGUGAGAAUGGAGCUUCUUUCAGAUGUUAAGAAGAAGAACAACAGGGAAGCAGUAAGGAUGAAAAUGGAAAAGACAUUUGCAUAUAGGAGACAGGAAGUGGUUCGCGACACACCAAUGAUAAGAGACUUCCAGACGAGAUGGCCAGCACUUUUUGAAGUAGGCGAGAUAAAUGCUGAAUUCAAACGGAUCACAACAAUGCCCCUGCAGUCCAGAUUUCUAUCGCAAUUAGAUGUUCACUCCGAGAAACUGCUCAAAAUGUUUAAAAACAGAGGAGGACAGAUUGGCAGACGCCUAGGGGGCAUCAUUGCACCCAUGGAUGAAGAUGAUGACGUGGAUCUGGGAAGAGAAUGUGUCAUAAAGGCACUCUGCGUUUACCUGAACGAGGACCCAGAGAAUCUAUUGAGAGAGUAUGUGGCAGCAGAUGAAUCCCUCCUCCAGGAAUCCAUUGAGGAAACCACUAUGGGUAUAUACGUCUGGAAACACAGAGAUGACAGUGAAAAACCAGAGGACAUUGGCAUUGUCCUCGAGUCCCAGAUUGUGAUGCAGGAUAUGGACAGUGUUCCCUUAGCUGCUGCCAUGUUGUUUGGCCUAAUAUAUUCUUUGAACUUAAACUACCCUGCUGAACUCAAGUAUACCUUUGAAGUGCUGCAGAAGGUGGUCAUGGAGCUUGAAGGCAAUGCACUGUCCAAAAAGCCCAAGUCCUGAAGAACAGACUUUAUCAGUGAACUGGCUAUCCAGGCUCUCGAGCUUGAUUUCUUAAGACAUACAUUAUGUCACCUACCUCUUCCAGUUGUUGGACUUUUCUUUUGGGCGGGUAGGAGGCUUUUUUUUUUUUUUUUUUAAAUGGAACUAUAACAUAA